rnacentral:misc_RNA from 1 species
GUGAAUCGAUGAUUUGCCAGCUUAAAAAUAUAUUUGGUGAAGUUACAGGACUGAAUGUAUAGCAGAUGGCAAAUGUUAACUUGUAAUAAUGUAGGAGAAAAAGAGAGUUUCACAGAACUAGUAAGCAACCACAUGUUAUCUGCAGGCAGUUAGGCACGAGGUUGAAGAUCAAACCAUUACAGGAAAACACACAUUUAACAGUGAUCAUCCUACUAAUCCAACAGCAUUGAUUCAAAAAAAGCAAACACAUAAACCAGC